GGGAACAUGGUCUAGUGGUAUGAUACUCGCUUUGGGUGCGAGUGGUCGGGGGUUCGAUUCCCCCUGUUCCCC